AAUGAACGUUGGCGGCGUGGAUUAGGCAUGCAAGUCGUACGGACCGUGGUAGCAAUAUUACGGUUAGUGGCGCAAGGGAGAGUAAUACGUAGGUAUUUACCCUAGGGGUCUGGGAUAGCGGCGGGAAACUGCCGGUAAUACCAGAUGAUAUCUCCGGAUCAAAGGUGUGAUUCCGCCCUAGGAGAAGCCUGCGGUCUAUCAGCUAGUUGGUAGGGUAACGGCCUACCAAGGCAAAGACGGAUAUGGGGCGUGAGAGCGUGCCCCCACUCACUGGGACUGAGACACUGCCCAGACACCUACGGGUGGCUGCAGUCGAGAAUCGUCGGCAAUGGGCGCAAGCCUGACCGAGCGACGCCGCGUGCGGGAUGAAGGCCUUCGGGUUGUAAACCGCUGUCGAAGGGGAGGAAAUUGUAGUGGGUUCACCCAUUAUAUUGACCGAUCCUUGGAGGAAGGGCCGGCUAAUCUCGUGCCAGCCGCCGCCGUAA
rnacentral:rRNA from 1 species